AUCUGUGUCUAAACAUCCCAAAGGCACCAGAUCUCAUCUGAUUUUGGAAGCUAAGUAAGGUCAGUCUGGGUAGUACUUGGAUGGGAGACUACAAAUGAAUAUUAGGUGUUGCAGCCU
rnacentral:rRNA from 1 species